rfam:Oryza barthii chromosome 4, whole genome shotgun sequence.
AAAAAGACAAACUCUAGGUUUCCGUGUCUAACGUUUGACUGUCCGUCUUAUAUGAAAUUUUUUUAUAAUUAGUAUUUUCAUCGUUGUUAGAUGAUAAAACAUGAUUAAUAUUUUAUGCGUGACUUGUCUUUUAAAUUUUUUUUCAUAAUUUUUUAAAAUAAGACGGACAGUCAAACGUUAGACAUGAAAAUUUAGGGUUUGUCUUUUU